rnacentral:rRNA from 1 species
CCCUUAGAUGUUCUGGGCUGCACGCGCGCUACACUGGUGCGUUCAGCGAGUUUAGCACCUUAACAGAUAUGUUUGGGUAAUCUUCUGAAAACGCACCGUGAUGGGGAUCGAUUAUUGUAAUUAUUAAUCGUCAACGAGGAAUUCCUAGUAAGUGUGAAUCAUCAGUUCGCGCUGAUUACGUCCCUGCCCUUUGUACACACCGCCCGUCGCUGCUACCGAUUGAGUGGUCCGGUGAAUUAUUCGGACCGGUGGACUGUGGGGAAACCCGCGGCCUGCUGGGAAGUCUUGGGAACCUUAUCACUUAGAGGAAGCAGAAGUCGUAACA